rnacentral:lncRNA from 1 species
GGUGUGUACAGCUAUAUUUACCUAUCUGUAGAUAAUGGUUACACACACACACACACACACACACAAUCUUGCAUUCAAACACAGUACUUCUCUGUAUGUGUAAGAAAUUAGAAUAGAGAUACUUUAAGCCAGCAGUGCUGGACCUUGAAGAUGAAUAGAAUAGAGUCACUAAACUUUGGAUUCCUUUUCAUCUCCUUUACUGGGAAGGCAGGAGGGAGCAGAGUAUCCUUCAGACUAUGCUAAUCUAAAAAUUAUAUGCUGAUACAGCAAACAAUGAAUAUUCCCCAUGAAGUUUAGAAAAUCAACGAAGGCAACAGAGCCUACUCUGAUUUCUUUGAUCUUUAUGAUAGUUAGAUGACCACUCAAAAGGAACCCUCCAAUAAUACAUUUGAGUAUUUUUUGUCAUAAGUGUUUUUUAAGAAAAAAAUUGUCUUAUGAUAAGGAAUAAAAUUUAUGUAUGUUUUGUGUGUCGUUAUUUUUUUUCCCAAAUAGAUUUUAAAACAAUAGAGCUAAAAAGAAUUAGAAGAGAAUCACAGGAGGAAAAUGACCCAGGAGGGAACAAUCAUCUGGAGCUAUUAAUGGCAGCUGUAUGCUAUGGGGUAUCGCUAAGGGUUAAGCAGUCUAGGACGUGCUCCAUUGUUAUCUUGUGCAAUACUUAUAACCUUGUGAGUCAACACAAAAUUAUUGCUCCCAUUUCACAAAUAAAAAUAUGUAAGCCUGAAGUUGACUUCAAGGUCAUAUAGCCAAUAAGGGUCCCGUUCUCUUCAUCAGUGACUUUCCUCCUGUUCAGUCUUUGACAUAAGACACUUGGGGAGGACUAGAAAUAACUUUGCCAGUCCCUCCACUGUGAGAAGUUUCCUCUCGAAUUAAAACUGGUUUGUUUUUCAGGUAUCCUACAAGGAGGAAGAAACACAUUAGCAGAGACCAGUUGAUGGUCUGAAUUUUGUGAUUAUCUUGAAAACAAACAGGAACCAAGAACGUCACCUUCCUUUAGGGUCUCAUCUUCACCUUGAAUGGGCCGAUAUGCUAUGUGGGUCAUGUUUCUUCCUGGAGUUCUCACCGUUUCCUUAAGCCUUCUUUUCCUCUGCGUGUUGGAAUAGGGAUUCUGUUGUCAUAGAAGUGAUUUGCAAGGUCAUCCUGAGGAAGCACCAAGCUUUGUUGAAUCAGGCACACUCCUGGAGGUCAGACAGGGCGGGCACUUCAUUCAUUUCCUGGAGUUCCUCUCAGCCCUUGAAACUGAUCCUAAUCUGGAAAUUCCUGAAUAUUCUGAACACCCCAACCACAGUGUCCUUGUGGAAAGCGUCACCAAUUGGUUCCAGGGAAUUAUCCUAAUGGGAUUUUUUCAUUUGACACUAUAAUGAGCAAGUUGAAAUUCAAGAACUUGAGGAGAUCUCACCAAAGACAAAGAGAAGGACAUGAAGAGGAUGAUCUUACUCACUUCAAAGUCUGCACAAGGGGUAGUCCCAGCCAUGCAAUCCUUAACAAGACUUUAGUAUUUACCAGUUCUUUAUAGUGACUUCCCAAGAGGCUAUUUCCAUUCAAGCAAUAUCUAUGAUAAUUUCCAAUCUCGCUGCAAUGCUUAUUUUGCAUUUAAUUUUCAAAGCCAUGCUAUUUGAUGUCAC